rnacentral:lncRNA from 1 species
AAUGAUAUAAAUGUAGUGGUGUGCAAAAUUGAACCGGCCGAUGAAACUUAUCAAAAAUGGACUGAACCGAUCGAUUUUCGACUAGUUUUGAAAUGGUGGUCGGUUGGUUCGAUAAAAUUUUUUAUAAUAUAAAAUUAAAAUUUUCAAUCGGUUGGAUUUUAUGAUUUUUGGCUCGAUUUUGACCGAACCGACCGAAUGGGUAUAUAAAUUAGAAAACCCUAUUUUCUUUUCUACUUUCCCCCCUCUCCCCCACCCCUAAAAAAAAAAAAAAACUACUCGUAGAAAACCCUUAUUUCAUUUUUACUUUGCUUCAUUGUGCCCCCCUCCUCCUCCCCAAUUUCACGUUGCACUCUACAGCCACUCUGCCUCAGCAUGCCUUACUUGCC